rnacentral:lncRNA from 1 species
CCAUCAACCAAACCCUCUCUUUCUUGCAUCUUCAAUUUCUCUUCCUUUCCUGGCUCUUUCUCCCUUUCUUGUCAACGUUCUCAUCUUUCAACACUAUGCUAUCUUGUCUUUCUACUUACUCUGCCUCUUACCCUAUUUAUCCAUAUACAUGUUGUAGUUCCUUCUCUCUCCUAUAUUAGAGUAUAUACUUUUUGAGGGCAUGUACUGUAUUAUUUUCCAUUCUUACACCCCCAACAAUGAGCCUCAUGCAUAGUAGUCACCGACUAAACAUUUGUUGAAAUAAAUGAAAUCCCUAAUUUAUAUUUAUAAUUUUUAUAUUUAUAUAUACAUAUAUAUUGAGGAAACUUAAGUUGGUAGUCUCCAAAUUCCUUCACUUCUAGCUGGUCAAUUUCCUUCCUAAAAUUGUGAUCCCCAGAACCAAGUGCCAUACUCUAGGCGGGGUCUGACCAACACUGAACAGAGUAGAAUUAUCUUCUCUCUUGCUCAGAACAUUCUAAUCCAGAACAGAGCUCCAAAUAGAACGUUCUCAAAUGUUCACCCUUAGAAGCUCUAAAAGGGUGCCUGAGAAGACACAUUGAACUGGUCUACGAAGGACUUUGCGUGCUGCCUCAUUUGAGCAUUGUGUUCCAUGCUCUCCCCAUCUCCUGAUGUUCCAGGCUGUCAUUCAGGAACUGCAAUGAGCACAAAGGAUACAAAGGAGGAUAGUCUUUGCCCUCAAAAAGAAAAAAUUAAAUAAGCCACUGCGUAAGUAUAGUCAGAAUUAUCCAGACGUAGUCUGUGUCCCUUGUAGCAUCAACUCUGAUAUCAUUGUGGUUACAUACUCUUCCUAUAAAAAUUAAAAGGAGGCAACUUUAAUUUAAAAUUUUGUGAUUUUCAUUGGUUAAACUUCUCUAUCUUCAUUUUUAAAUCAUGUCGUCAGUUAUACAAACCAUUUAAAGUAAAAAACUGGGGAAAAGCAGAUUUCCUUGACAUUUGAUGCCCUUCAUUUAUUUCUG